rnacentral:lncRNA from 7 species
UGAUUCUAAUACCUUCUUCUAAUUACAACCUCUGUUACCAGAGCAAACAGCCAGACAGACUUCAUGUGGGGCUUUGAAGAGUGGAAUUUCACAGUGUAAAAAAAUAUCAGUGUAAAACCCAUUCAUCAGCCUGCAGCAACAAAUAGGAAUUUGAAUGGACGCUUGGUCAAGGUCUUUGGCCACUGUAUCUGUUAAUGUCUGUACUUCUGAGAUAGCUGCUGAAAAUGGUCCUCAAGUUGAAAAAUAAGAAAAGGCUUAAAGCUACAUGUGGAGGAAAAAAUCAUUCUGAAGAAUGAAACUUGAGACUAUCCCUCAGCAUCUUUUAAAAAUUUACCGGUAUGUCCCUUCUGAGUCAUGACUGACUUGUGUGCUGGGCAAGAAAAUGAACAAAUUCCAGAUGGUAAAUAUUGAGGAACCAGUUAGAGAUUAUUAAUGUAAAUGCUUCUAACAGAAUGAGUUUUAUUUACAAUAUUACUGUAGUUUUCUCAGGCUUACUAAUGCAAUUUUUUUUUUUUUUGGAUGAAACUAGCUGUGUUUGAAUACUUUUCUGUUUGGAAAUUCUUGCUCCCUGCUAUACCAGUGUCAGAAAUGAGUUCAUUGAUUAUAUUUAAUUUUGUGGGCUAUUUUGCUUGUUAAGGCAUUAUCUAGUGUAUACUUUCUUCAAUGGAGAGUUAUCAUAGAUGGUCAGUUAACUAAUUGCUGUUUUCACAUUCAAAUACAAACAAUAUAAGUAAGCUCCU